rnacentral:siRNA from 1 species
ACUGUUAUCGCCAUGGCU